GACGAACGCUGGCGGCGUGGAUUAGGCAUGCAAGUCGAACGGUAUCAUCCUUUCGGGGGUGAGAGAGUGGCGAACUGGUGAGUAACACGUAGGUUAUCUACCCUCAAGACGGGGACAACCCAGGGAAACUUGGGCUAAUACCGGAUGUGAGCAACUUUUAGUUGUUUGAAAGGUGGCGUAAGCUGUCGCUUGGGGAUGAGCCUGCGUCCUAUUAGUUAGUUGGUGAGGUAACGGCUCACCUAGGCAAUGAUAGGUAGGCGGCCCUAACGGGUGGUCGCCCACACUGGGAUUGAGAUACGGCCCAGACUCCUACGGGAGGCAGCAGUCGAGAAUAGUCUACAAUGGUCGGAAGACUGAUAGUGCGACGCCGCGUGAACGAUGAAUCCCUUCGGGGUGUAAAGUUCUUUUAUAUGUGAGCAGUGCUUCUUAUAUUAACAGUAUGGGGAGAGAGAUAUUAGCAUAUGAAUAAGCAACGGCUAAACUCCGUGCCAGCAGCCGCGGUAAUA
rnacentral:rRNA from 1 species